UACGUAGGUGGCAAGCGUUGUCCGGAUUUAUUGGGUUUAAAGGGUGCGUAGGCGGACUGUUAAGUCAGAGGUGAAAGACGGUGGCUCAACCAUCGCAGUGCCUUUGAUACUGGCAGUCUUGAGUGCAGACGAGGUCUGUGGAAUGGAUGGUGUAGCGGUGAAAUGCUUAGAUACCAUCCAGAACACCAAUUGCGAAGGCAGCAGACUAGGGUGCGACUGACGCUGAGGCACGAAAGUGCGGGGAUCAAACAGG
rnacentral:rRNA from 1 species